rnacentral:lncRNA from 1 species
GAUUAAUAUAUAGCUUAUUUCAAAAAUAAAAAUAAAAAAUACAAGUUGGUGAUGGCUAAAGUGAGAUGGCAUCAAUCUUUUGAAAUCUUCAAUCUAUUUUUUUUUCUUUGAAAAUAAAUAUACAAAAUUUAAAUUAAAAAAAUAGAAUUUAUGAUUUAAAAGUAAGAUUUAUGAUUUUUAUGUUUAGAAGUAGGAUUUAGGAUUUAAGGAUUCGAAGUAGAAUAGAGUUUAGGAUUUUGACAAGAUGUUAACCCUCUUGAAAGAGAAAUAUAAGGACUUUCCAUUGAGGUUUUUGCUCUCUUAUAUUUUAGUUUUGGAAAUAUUUAAUGAACAAAAUUUUGUUAAUAUGAAGGACAAGUGACCUUCCAAAGGAUUCU